rnacentral:rRNA from 1 species
GACGAACGCUGGCGGCGUGCUUAACACAUGCAAGUCGAACGAAAAUACCAGGCUUGCUUGGUUGAUUAGUGGCGAACGGGUGAGUAACACGUGAGUAACCUGCCCCUUACUUUCCUGGAUAACUGCUCGAAAGGGUAGCUAAUACGGGAUAUUCUGACUAGCCUGCAUGGGUUGGUUUGGAAAGGUUUUUUCUGGUAAGGGAUGGGCUCGCGGCCUAUCAGCUUGUUGGUGGGGUGAUGGCCUACCAAGGCUUUGACGGGUAGCCGGCCUGAGAGGGUGGACGGUCACACUGGGACUGAGAUACGGCCCAGACUCCUACGGGAGGCAGCAGUGGGGAAUAUUGCACAAUGGGCGCAAGCCUGAUGCAGCGACGCCGCGUGAGGGACGAAGGCCUUCGGGUUGUAAACCUCUUUCGUCAGGGAACAAGGCACUGCUUUUUUGGUGGUGUUGAGGGUACCUGGAUAAGAAGCGCCGGCUAACUACGUGCCAGCAGCCGCGGUAAUACGUAGGGCGCAAGCGUUGUCCGGAAUUAUUGGGCGUAAAGAGCUCGUAGGCGGCUGGUCGCGUCUGUCGUGAAAACUUCCGGCUCAACCGGGGGCUUGCGGUGGGUACGGGCCGGCUAGAGUGCGGUAGGGGUAACUGGAACUCCUGGUGUAGCGGUGGAAUGCGCAGAUAUCAGGAAGAACACCGAUGGCGAAGGCAGGUUACUGGGCCGUUACUGACGCUGAGGAGCGAAAGCGUGGGGAGCGAACAGG